AACGAACGCUGGCGGCAGGCUUAACACAUGCAAGUCGAGCGCCCCGCAAGGGGAGCGGCAGACGGGUGAGUAACGCGUGGGAAUCUACCCAUCUCUACGGAAUAACGCAUGGAAACGUGUGCUAAUACCGUAUACGUCCUUCGGGAGAAAGAUUUAUCGGAGAUGGAUGAGCCCGCGUUGGAUUAGCUAGUUGGUGGGGUAAAGGCCUACCAAGGCGACGAUCCAUAGCUGGUCUGAGAGGAUGAUCAGCCACACGGGGACUGAGACACGGCGCGGACUCGUACGGGAGGCAGCAGAGGGGAAUAUUGGACCAUGGCCUCAAGCCUGAUCCGGCGAGGCCGCGUGAGGGAUGAAGGCGCUAGGGUUGUAAAGCUCUUUCACCGGUGAAGGUAAUGACGGUAACCGGAGAAGAAGCCCCGGCUAACUUCGUGCCAGCCGCCGCCGUAAUAC
rnacentral:rRNA from 1 species